rnacentral:lncRNA from 1 species
GAUUUUGCCUCUAGUGUUUGGCUCAUUGUGUCGCAGAAUAUUUUUUUCCAGGAUAGCUUGACUCAUAAAACUGUCUCCAGACUGGAUAAGCUAUUUAUUUCAGAAUAACUUGGGAGUAACACCAAUGCCAGCAAACUGAUUGCAUGAGAUAAGAGGCAAGGUUCUUCCUUCACAUCCCUAUGCACCAGGGCCACCUAUGGGUCUUUGAGAGAAGUGAGUAACUUAGCAGAUCUGGCCUCAGAUUUCUAAUGCUUGUUAUGAUCUUGUCCCAUCCAUCUGAAUAUUUUUCCUUCUGAAGAUGAAACGGUCUCACUGGAGAGAGCAGAACUUUGGUCCAUCAUCCCUGAGAGAAAAUGAGGAUGAAGCAUUAGUCAUUUUGCUGUGAGCUGCUCCAGGCUCCUGGACUGCAGAUAACAUUUGUGUGCUAAUGAAUACAGUUCCAAGCAAGCUUUUUAAGAAGACAGAGGGACAGACAGAUAUUAGUAUAUACCCAAAGCUCUCCAACGAGCAUCAGUUUGUUCCUCUCACAGCUGACCAUCCUCUUGUCACUGCUGGCUGUUGUCCUUACUGGACAGAUGUUCUGCAGUGUUGAUAACAUGAAUAACAGUCCCAGUGACAAGCACAAGUUGCAGGUUGUUUCAGUUCAUCCUCAUGGGCCUAUGUAGAACUAGAGCUAUCCCACGUGUCUGUUCCCUUUCUGAUACCUGAGCUGGGUGUCCUGGAGCCAGUUUGGGUGUCUAAAAAGGAUGUGGUGGUGUCUAAAUUUGUGUUCUUCUUCCUUCCCCACAGAAAAGAGUUCUUCUAAAAGCUCCCCAGAGGACACUAGUGUUGUUUGUGCAGUUUAAUAAUGUAAGUCUGAGCUGGAAGGCAGAAAGCCAAUUGUCAGGGUGUCUGCAAGGAGAGAAGCUUAAAGAAUGGUCAGUGAACUUAAUGAAGUUAUUCAGAGGAAACUGAGAGCCUGGAACCAGCAGAGCAGGGCAGCAUUGAUAGGCUUUCUUCUGCAGCAUGGCUCAGGAAUACGGUGUGGGACAGGCAAACAAGGACAAAAUUCAGAUUCAAUUUCUUCAGCCCGGCUAAGAAGGGGAAAACCAAACCUUUCUAACAGCUCUGCAGAUGAAGAGAAAGGAGAGGAACCCAGACAGUAACUGCGUAGCUGAAACCAAACCUGAACUUUCUUUGAAACUCAACUACUUGCAGACUAUUGUGCCCAGCAUCACUGCAGUGUUUUAUUGCUGAUCAUCUUUAAUGCCUUUAGAGAUAUCCCAUGGGAAACCGGUAUCU